AAAAAAAAAUUUCAACAAGGAAAUUGUUCGGAAGACGCUUUGAUUGGUGGCUGUAGAUACUCUGCCAGUAUAUAAGGCUUCAAUCUCGAUUCUCUAGUUAUCUGCAGCGUCCUAAAUCAUCAUGGGAAAACUGUUGGUUCUAUUGACCGUUCUCUGUCUGGUGGCAAUGACGACCGCUUACUGGCAUCCACCUGGAGAACAAAAAAUGUUGUGUUACAAUGACUUCGAUUGUAACCGCGGACAAUUUUGCCAAAUUGUGUCCAUUUUCCCAUCUAAGCGUGGCUACUGCUGUGACAUUAUGCCGAAUUAUGGUUGACACUAAAAGGACAAGAAUGGAGAAAGGCAGGUCACCGGCCAAAUAACAAUAACUGAAGUUUAAAAAACAAAUCUAAUCUGAAGAGAUCAGUGUGCAAUCAUUUGAUGAUUAAAGCAUUUUAAUAAAA